rnacentral:rRNA from 1 species
GAUGAACGCUGGCGGCGUGCCUAAUACAUGCAAGUCGAGCGAACGGACGAGAAGCUUGCUUCUCUGAUGUUAGCGGCGGACGGGUGAGUAACACGUGGAUAACCUACCUAUAAGACUGGGAUAACUUCGGGAAACCGGAGCUAAUACCGGAUAAUAUUUUGAACCGCAUGGUUCAAAAGUGAAAGACGGUCUUGCUGUCACUUAUAGAUGGAUCCGCGCUGCAUUAGCUAGUUGGUAAGGUAACGGCUUACCAAGGCAACGAUGCAUAGCCGACCUGAGAGGGGGAUCGGCCACACUGGAACUGAGACACGUUCCAGACUCCUACGGGAGGCAGCAGUAGGGAAUCUUCCGCAAUGGGCGAAAGCCUGACGGAGCAACGCCGCGUGAGUGAUGAAGGUCUUCGGAUCGUAAAACUCUGUUAUUAGGGAAGAACAUAUGUGUAAGUAACUGUGCACAUCUUGACGGUACCUAAUCAGAAAGCCACGGCUAACUACGUG